CAAAGUCUCAACUAAAAAUUGCAAAUUGGAAAAUCCUUUGAGAGAGGGAUUCAGCAAGUGAAACUGUUUGAAGUUUGUAGGUGACAAUACUGAAUGGAUGGAGACAGAAAUGUCACCCUGUCAGAAGAUGAAUGAGCUGAGCUUGCAUGAUGUGAACCACGGCUGACAGAGGCAAGGAAGAAUCAAAGAGUGAACAACUUUUGACAACACACGCUUCCCAGCUCUGACCACUGUGGAUCUACAUGAUUAUCUCCAGACAAAAUAACUGUCCUGCUCUCAUACUUUUUAACUUUUUGAGGAGAGAUGCCUUGUGAUUUUCACCUGCCACCUGCCAAAGAGAUUCCUAUAGUUGGCUCAUUCCACAUCUUCAUUAUAUAAACAGUUUUGAUUGCCUGGAAUACAUAACUUGCAACUUAAUUCAAUCUAACUGCUACUUUAUCUAAUUCAAUACACUCAUAUUCUUUUGUAUUAUUGCAGAGCUUCUUUUAGUGACUUCUUCAAAUAUUACAUAAGU